rnacentral:rRNA from 1 species
GAUGAACGCUGGCGGCGUGCUUAACACAUGCAAGUCGAACGGUGAAGCAGAGCUUGCUCUGUGGAUCAGUGGCGAACGGGUGAGUAACACGUGAGCAACCUGCCCUGGACUCUGGGAUAAGCGCUGGAAACGGCGUCUAAUACUGGAUAUGAGCCACGAUCGCAUGGUCGGUGGUUGGAAAGAUUUUUCGGUCUGGGAUG